AUGUGGAGGCUAUAUACAGGGUCAAUGUGGAGGCUAUAUACAGGGGGUACUGGUACAGUCAAUGUGAAGGCUAUAUACAGGGGGUACUGGUACAGAGUCAAUGUGGAGGCUAUAUACAGGGUCAAUGUGGAGGCUAUAUACAGGGGGUACUGGUACAGAGUCAAUGUGGAGGCUAUAUACAGGGUCAAUGUGGAGGCUAUAUACAGGGGGUACUGGUACAGUCAAUGUGAAGGCUAUAUACAGGGGGUACUGGUACAGAGUCAAUGUGGAGGCUAUAUACAGGGGGUACCGGUACAGAGUCAAUGUGGAGGCUAUAUACAUGGGGUACUGGUACAGAGUCAAUGUGGAGGCUAUAUACAGGGGGUACUGGUACAGAGUCAAUGUGGAGGCUAUAUACAGGGGGUACCGGUACAGAGUCAAUGUGGAGACUAUAUACAGGGGGUACUGGUACAGAGUCAAUGUGGAGGCUAUAUACAGAGGGUACCGGUACAGAGUCAAUGUGGAGACUAUAUACAGGGGGUACUGGUACAGAGUCAAUGUGGAGGUUAUAUACAGGGGGUACUGGUACAGAGUCAAUGUGGAGGCUAUAUACAGGGGGUACCGGUACAGAGUCAAUGUGGAGGCUAUAUACAGGGGGUACUGGUACAGAGUCAAUGUGGAGGCUAUAUACAGGGGGUACCGGUACAGAGUCAAUGUGGAGGCUAUAUACAGGGGGUACUGGUACAGAGUCAAUGUGGAGGAUAUAUACAGGGGGUACUGGUACAGAGUCAAUGUGAAGGCUAUAUACAGGGGGUACUGGUACAGAGUCAAUGUGAAGGCUAUAUACAGGGGGUACUGGUACAGAGUCAAUGUGGAGGCUAUAUACAGGGGGUACUGGUACAGAGUCAAUGUGGAGGCUAUAUACAGGGGGUACUGGUACAGAGUCAAUGUGGAGGCUAUAUACAGGGGGUACCGGUACAGAGUCAAUGUGGAGGCUAUAUACAGGGGGUACUGGUACAGAGUCAAUGUGGAGGCUAUAUACAGGGGGUACCGGUACAGAGUCAAUGUGGAGGCUAUAUACAGGGGGUACCGGUACAGAGUCAAUGUGGAGGCUAUAUACAGGGGGUACUGGUACAGAGUCAAUGUGGAGGCUAUAUACAGAGGGUACUGGUACAGAGUCAAUGUGGAGGCUAUAUACAGGGGAUACUGGUACAGAGUCAAUGUGGAGGCUAUAUACAGGGGGUACUGGUACAGAGUCAAUGUGGAGACUAUAUACAGGGGGUACCAGUACAGAGUCAAUGUGGAGGCUAUAUACAGGGGAUACUGGUACCGAGUCAAUGUGGAGACUAUAUACAGGGGAUACUGGUACCGAGUCAAUGUGCGAGGGUACAGGUUAGUCAAGAUAAUUUGUAA
rnacentral:lncRNA from 1 species